rnacentral:lncRNA from 1 species
AAGGACAGGAGGGGAAAGACGACGCAGAUGCUGAGCGGCCGCCGGGAGGUCACCCCGCGUCCGGCUGGGCGGGCCUGGGGCGCGGGGGCCGGCGUUGGCAUCUCCCGCCUCUGCGCGGGGCUGCAGGCGGAGCCCGAGGGUGCUGGGCUCCGGCAGGCGCUGCAGAGCAAGCCCGGGCAAGGGCCUUCCCGCGGCCGCCGGGGACAGCAGGACAGCCGCGAGGCCGGACCACCCCGGCCAUCCCCGCCACCCCAGAUUCCCCGCGUGCCCAGGCCGCGCCUCCCGCGCCGCGCCUCCCCGCGCCCCCGGACCUGGCGACGUCACUGCGGCUCUGACGCGCGCGAACGGAGGCGCGGGCGGAGGCGGCGCGGCGCGGGCAUCCUCCGGGAGGUCCCGGGCCCCGCAGCCCACGGCCGCGUCCUUGGCCCUCUUCCAGGGGCACCUCGAUUUUCCACACUCGGGAAGGCCGACUGUCCUUCGCUACAGAUAAGGACGCGAGCGCAGGGUAACAGAUUUUAACAAUGCCCGGAAAGAAAUAGCCGGACCCAAGAAAGAAACUAAAAAUAGCCGCCAGCUAGAGCCUGCUCGUGUAGCGGUCUUAAGAACAAUAAUGACAACAACCAUAAUAGCCACCAUUUAUUGAGCGCUUCCCCUGUGCCAGGCACUGCGUUAAGCGCUUUGCAGGCAACAACCCUCGGAGAUGAGGUCACGGGACUGGUAAGUAGCGACACUGGGAAUCCACCCAGGAGGAUGUGACUUGAGAGCCCCAUUCCCAUCACCCAGGAUGCACAAGCUGAUGCAGUGAACAGAAGAGCGUCCCCCUCCUCUUCCUGUCCCUGCUGAGCCUGGCACAGAAGGGGUCAAUGAAUAUUUGCGGAACGACUGCUCCAAGACUUUGUUUCUUCUCUUACCUAUAAUGACUACCUCCCAGAUAAAUAAGCAUCUCUUUCUCUCUGCCCCGGCCUAAACACCUGACGUAGUCACAAGGUCCCUCCCGGCUCCUGCCCCAAGUCCCUGUGCUUCCACAGGAGGCCCCUUCCAGAACUAACAGCCUGGGGUUCUGUUUGAAGUUUUUCAAUUUCCGAAGUCCCAAGAUUCUGUAACCCAUGUUAAGCACAAGAAAUCUUUUGAUCGGCUGCUAUACCUCCUGCCCAAGCACAGAAGAGAAAGCCCUGGGGAGGACCUGGAUUGUCACAGUGUUGUCCUUCCAGAGAAGGUCGACCAGAGGUCGGCCCUGCUGAGAACAGGCAGCUGAGGUCUCGCAAUGUCCAGACAUUCGGCAGGUCCUGCAUCAAGGACACUCCGGUUCCUUGUGCUCAUUGCUCCACCAUCCACACUGCCAUUCACGGUGCCCAAAAUGGGACUCGUGCCGGUUCCAAGCAGGACAUCUCCUUCUUCCAGCCAUGAGAACUCCGCUUGUGCAGACCGGGGAAAUGAGUGCCUCAUUACUCAGCCAACUGGAAUGUGGGAGAAUUAGAUCUCAAGAAAAAUGACCCAUGAAUGGACCCUGGUGAUCCAGGGCCUUGAAGGUUCAGAGGUGCUUCCUCCUGAGUCCGCACUGGCCCCAAGCUUUCCUUCCCGUGCCUUCUGCAGUUACCAUUUACAGGACACUCGCUACGCGCUGAGCACGGUGCUCAGUGCUCUCCCGCCAUCAGCUGAUUUUCUCAUCUUCACAACAGUCCUGCAGUAAAUGACAUCCGGAAGGAAGCAGCCCAGGCUGCUACCACAGCUUCAUAACCAUCAGACUGGGGCUCCUCCUGACUGGGGCUCUCCAUCCUCAGUGCAUGCCUUCCACUUGUGACCCAAGACACUGCUGGAGGAGGAAGGAGCCAAGAAGAAGGCCACUUCUCCUCCAAGGACACUUCCUGGAAUUCCCUUCCGCUUAUCCCCCACUAACCAGAACUAACUCCCAAGGUCCCUGGGAAAUAGGGUAUUAUCAAAGUAGGGGUUCUAUUCCCAUGGCCAAGGGGGUGAACAGAUAUGGGGGGCCCACUGGCCUCUCUGCCACGUUUCACAAACUUCUUUCCAGUGUGUAUAGUUUUGUAUCCUGGUUUUUUCUCUCUCUCUCUUUUUUUUUUUUGGUG